rnacentral:RNase_P_RNA from 1 species
UUGGCAACUCAGGCAGCCGCGCUUCCCGAAAAGGGGAGUGAGGAAAGUCGGGACACCCCCUCGCGCAACUGAGCGAGGAGCAGGGCAGCGGCUAACGGCCGCCGAGCGAAAGCUUAGAGGUGCGAACAGUGACGCCUUUCCCCGCAAGGGGGGAGGGGAUCAAGCCCACUAUGGUCCAAUCCUGCGGAAGGGGCUAUUACGCAGGGGUGAAACGGCUAAACCCUUGCCCGGGUGCAAGGCCGUGCCCAGCAACAUCUAUGCGCUGGGAGUGCCGCAUGAGCCCGAGAGCAAUCGAGGGCCCAGAGAAAUGGCUGCCUCCCGUCUCCACAAAGGGGACGGCAGACAGAAUCCCGCUUAUGAGUUGCCUCUCUA